rnacentral:rRNA from 1 species
GAUGAACGCUAGCGGCAGGCUUAACACAUGCAAGUCGAGGGGUAUUGGUUUUCGGACCAAGAGACCGGCGCACGGGUGCGUAACGCGUAUGCAAUCUACCUUUUGCAGAGGGAUAGCCCAGAGAAAUUUGGAUUAAUACCUCAUAGUAUAGUAGUUUCGCAUGAAACGACUAUUAAAGUUCCAACGGCAAAAGAUGAGCACGCGUCCCAUUAGCUAGAUGGUAAGGUAACGGCUUACCAUGGCAACGAUGGGUAGGGGUCCUGAGAGUGAGAUCCCCCACACUGGUACUGAGACACGGACCAGACUCAUACGGGAGGCAGCAGUGAGGAAUAUUGGACAAUGGGCGCAAGCCUGAUCCAGCCAUGCCGCGUGCAGGAUGACGGUCCUAUGGAUUGUAAACUGCUUUUGUACAGGAAGAAACACUCCCUCGUGAGGGAGCUUGACGGUACUGUAAGAAUAAGGAUCGGCUAACUCUGUGCCAGCAGCCGCCGUAA